AUUGAACGCUGGCGGCAGGCUUAACGCAUGCAAGUCGAGCGGAGAUGAGGUGCUUGCACCUUAUCUUAGCGGCGGACGGGUGAGUAAUGCUUAGGAAUCUGCCUAUUAGUGGGGGACAACAUUCCGAAAGGAAUGCUGAUACCGCAUACGCCCUACGGGGGAAAGCAGGGGAUCUUCGGACCUUGCGCUAAUAGAUGAGCCUAAGUCGGAUUAGCUAGUUGGUGGGGUAAAGGCCUACCAAGGCGACGAUCUGUAGCGGGUCUGAGAGGAUGAUCCGCCACACUGGGACUGAGACACGGCCCAGACUCCUACGGGAGGCAGCAGUGGGGAAUAUUGGACAUUGGGGGGAACCCUGAUCCAGCCAUGCCGCGUGUGUGAAGAAGGCCUUAUGGUUGUAAAGCACUUUAAGCGAGGAGGAGGCUACUGAGACUAAUACUCUUGGAUAGUGGACGUUACUCGCAGAAUAAGCACCGGCUAACUCUGUGCCAGCAGCCGCCGUAAAAC
rnacentral:rRNA from 1 species